CCUUUCAUCCUUUCGGGGUCGAUAAAAUAAGUACCAGUUACGCAUUGGGGUCGAUAUAAUCGACUAAAUCAGGUUGUCUGUCCUUGUUUGUCCCCUCUAUGUGUAGCCCCUUGUGGGCAGUAAAAGAAAUAAGAUGCAACACGGAGAUGACACUUGUCUAACAAGAGAGAAACAAUCUGCCACGAAUGUAUAGGCUCAGUGGGUCGGAGCUUGACCCGGUUUCCAAAGUGUAUAAGCGACCGAGGAUAUAGUACUCACACCUGGAUGGGACUCGGAGUCUUCGCCGCGUUAACUCCCAGCUGCUUCUGUUGCUACUGCUAUUCAUUUUCAGCGAAGCAACGUGAGAAGGAAUGUUCUGCUAAAAAAACACAACGCGAUGCCCUGUCCGGGUGUCGAAACCAUGAGCGUAAAUCUAAGCAGACACAACCACCAGAUGAAGUUUUGUAUCAGUGGAGUUCUCGCCGCCCGAGCUUACAUUAAACCAUAGCUGACAAUGUAUAUCCGAUGAGAUCCAGCGGGCUUUCGCACCGAUUAUUCUAAUGAAAGGUCCAGUCAAAUUUUCAUAGAAUGCUGAAAAAACCCAAGCAUCCCUACUUUUUGUCAUUAACUGCCAUGUUUCGUAUUUUCCCUCCGGAAUUCCGCGCAUAUUACCACAUUCGCUUUUCGGUAAGUAUUUCGCGAGCGUUCGGCGUUGAACACGAGGUUGUUUUUCGUUCUUGUUAUUAUUGUCAAUCUCUACUUUGUUUGAAGCAGUGUUUUUUAAGUUUGUAUUAACAUUUUGCUGAAUAUUUCUUAAUGUAUUAUUAUUAUUAUUAUUAUUAUUAUUAUUAUUAUUAUUAUUAUUAUUAUUUUUAUUCAUAUGAAUGAACGAAUAUAUAUUGUUGUGUCGGAUGUAUCGCGUCGUUAAACGCCUCCGGGACAGAGUGGAUUGAUGAAGUACACGGUAAGAUGAAUCGUUGUUCUUCUUCGUCCGCCGAUCAUUAUAAAUGACAUUUAACGGUGCAGCAAAAGUUCGAAUUAUCUUUGAUGUGUAAUUUUUUCUAACGAUUUUUUUCCGUGAAAAGUCAUUAUUUCUAGUCGAAAAGUGAGAAUGUUGGCUGCGGUUGUUGCUGUCUCUUGUGCUUUCACUAACUUCUUUUGAAAUGCUUACCCAUAGGAAGGAAACUGUAAGUGAUAGUAAAAAUAUCAAAAGGAGACGACGAAAGUAAAUCCUCAUUAUACUUUGGACAGGAAUCUAUUAAUUUGUUUUGUUUUCCUUAGAUAAAUCUUUGUUUUUCUUUUAUUUUUUAUUUAUUCCUUCCUUUGUUUUUGUUUUGUUUUUUUAUCUGUCGGAGGAAAUCGAUGGCUUGACUGUAGAAUAAUUUUGCCAAGUGACACAAAGGUACUAAAGAAGUAUAAAUAAAUGUGCCCCAAAACAAUUUGGUUUUAUGUCCCUUUCCUCUUCAGAUUUGUCGUCCGAUUGGUAAAAAAUACUAAUAAAUGUUCAGAGAUCGAAUCCGCUGUGUUCAAUAAGAGUACUAAAUGUUUACUGUAAUUUACAGGGAUUACAUCUGUGAUAUGCAUUUUUAAAUAAUAGAUUUUUAUAGCGCUUAACUUCAGUCGAAAGAACUUUAUAUUUCUUAUACUUUCAACUCUCUUUCUCUCCUUCUCUCCCUCUCCUCUCUCUCUCUGUUUCUCUCAAUCUUCCUUUCAUAUUAACCUCCUGUCCUCAUUUUCUCUCUCACUCCACACUUUCUCUCUCUAUCUGUCUGUCUUCUACGUCUGUUAUGUCAUGUUUCAUCCGUCCAUUCUCUCUCUCUCUCUCUCUCUCCCUCUCUCUCUCUCUCUCUCUCUCUCUUUCUUUCUUUCUCUUUUUUCUCACAGUCACUCCCACACACGCUCACACACACACACACACACGCACACACACACACACGCACGCACGCACUCACACACACACUCUCACACACACACACACUCACACUCACUCACUGACACUUUGUCUCGGCCUUCUUGAGUUAUUUUCACUUCUUUUCCGGCUUGUUGACGAUAGAAAGCGAGCUACAACUCCUACUUCACACAGACACGGCAGAGAUAGUACAGGUGCAAAAGCAAACACUACCAGAAGCUCUGGGUACAGUGCAUACGGUAUCCUCCUUGCCGUUAAGAUCUUCUUAUUGACAGACGAUAGCUGUGUUGACGUUAAUGAUGUUAACAUUCCUGUUAUAAUAGAGGACGACAGACGGAGAAAACGAAUUGCACGCUCGUGUAUUCCUCACUUCGAACAAAAUGAAAAAAAUGCUUUCUAAAUGAUGCGUGUUGACCGCCUCUUAGUAUUAACGCCGUUCUCCGCAUCUAGAUGGAAUGUAUGUGACUGUUUUUGUAUAAUCUGUACUAGUGUUUUCGCCUUUGUCUGCAUUGUAUAAUCUGUACUAGUGUUUUCGCCUUUGUCUGCAUGGCAUGUAGGUGAAUAUUCUGCGACUGUUUAUGUAUAUAAAUGUACAAGACUUAAUGCCAUUGUCCGCAUGUAGAUGACUAUCUGUAUCUGUUUAUAUACAUAAUCGUUCGGAUGUGAGUCAGAAGCGUUCGCACAAGUGUCUGGGGAGGUCAUUUGUUGACAUUGAUUGGAUAUCGACCCCUCUAGUGCCGAAGCUAGCCUGGCAGGCACAUCUAUACACUAAACUGGAAAGGUGUGAAAGCGAAUUCUGAUACCCUGCAAACGUUACGCUGACUGAAAAAGUGCUGCUCGCUCGCUUUACACACAAGACACACGCGCGAGCUGACACACUGUUGUGUUUCGAGUCAGACUACUGUGAUAACCAGCCAAUCAAAAGCCGGCUUUCUUGUGACGUAGUCGGGUUGCAAUUGAACCCGCUAAAGGUCAGAUGUCAUUCCCAUUUAUUCCUCCAGUCUUCGGGAAACAAAGAAACAGAAAAAGAAAAAGGAAAAGGUGGAGUUAAGCAGCUAAAUAGUUGGCGGUCAAUAAGUCACACACCCCAGAACAAAUCGCGUGCUCAGCUGAGGUCCACCGUCGUUACCGCGAUGGCGCUGCUGCAGAGAAUGGCCAACGACAUUCGCUGCAGCAGCCACUCCACCUCGCGAGACUCGUUUCUCAGGGGGACCGCCAGUAUCUCGAUUUUGCUGAGGAAAUCGGUAGUGCGCGGUCCGAGAACAGUUAACGUCGCGACGGCGACCGGCAUAAAGUGAUGACGGCUGAUGAGACUCCCUGUAUUUAUAUGUUACUAUAAUGACUUUUUCGCCUUGGUUCUGGCUGGCCCAAUGCUACCUCCAAACACUCAUUUCCAACCCACUCGUCUCUCCUCUUCUUAUAUUCUCUGUUGUGUCCAACCCCGCUCCCAAACCUUGCACUAAUUACUCCACCCAGUCCUUACUUUCCAAUACGUUAUUACACCUGAAUUCCCUUUCUGCUCAUGUCUUUCCUACAGUUGUUGAAUUGCAAGAAUUCCAAAGGAACAUUAAUGGCAUCAGUCUUCUCGAUCUGGAAAUCUGAGAAUCCAAGAAGGUGUGCGAAGGUCAUAAGAACUGCCCAUUCCCUCCAAACUCGAAGUUUUUUGUUUAUGUGAACUUCUGAUCAAUGCAGCCAAAAUGAUUAGCCACAGCUAAUGGCAUCCAUUCAAAUGUUGUACAGUUGUUUGAUAAUAAAUCACACAACGUUAGAAUCUUCCAUCGUUGA